UUGGCGGCGGAGCAGGUCGCGGCAGGUUCGGUGGCGGAGCAGGUCUCGGCAGGGUUCGGCGACGGAGUAUGUCGUGGCAGGGUUCUUCGGUUGAGUAGGUCUCGGCGGGCUUCGGCGGCGAAGGCGAUGGCAGGCUCGAGCUCCAGUAGGAGCACAACACGGUCGGCGACGAAAAUAUCCAGGCAAGUUGGUUUAUUCAUUUUGAAUGUGCAGAAUGGUGGAUGCAAAUUAUGGCAGUGGUAUGAACCAGGGACAACGCCAUAUUUGAAGCAGGUUUUGAAUGAUUUAGUCAGCACUGUUCAUGAAGUGAAGACAGAGAACUCUAAAAUUAGAGCAUCCCUUGCCAACUCAAGAGCUGUGAUUGAUGGACUUGUCACUGAAUGCAAUGUCUAUGAAGCAAAGAGCAUGGGACAAAAAGAGGAAUGUGGCUCAUUUGCUGAAAUGGCAUGUAGAAUCAAGAUGUUAGAAGAGAGUAGACGAUUUAUGUUGUCAGUAAUUGUUGGUUUUGUAGUAGUCAUAUUUGCACUAUUGCUUCUUAGGUAG
rnacentral:lncRNA from 1 species